rnacentral:rRNA from 1 species
AGUGAAGCGGGAAGAGCUCAAAUUUGAAAUCUGGUAGCCUUCGGUUGCCCGAGUUGUAAUCUAGAGAAGUGUUUUCCGUGCCGGCCCAUGUACAAGUCCCUUGGAACAGGGCGUCAUAGAGGGUGAGAAUCCCGUCCUUGACAUGGACCCCCGGUGCUUUGUGAUACACUUUCAACGAGUCGAGUUGUUUGGGAAUGCAGCUCAAAAUGGGUGGUGAAUUCCAUCUAAAGCUAAAUAUUGGCGAGAGACCGAUAGCGAACAAGUACCGUGAGGGAAAGAUGAAAAGCACUUUGGAAAGAGAGUUAAACAGUACGUGAAAUUGUUGAAAGGGAAACGAUUGAAGUCAGUCAUGCUCUUGGGACUUACCUCCCUUGAGUGGGGUCAACAUCAGUUUUGAUCGAUGGAUAAAGGCACGGGGAAGGUAGCACUCUCGGGUGAACUUAUAGCCUCGCGUCAUAUACAUUGAUUGGGACUGAGGAACGCAGCAUGCCUUAUGGCCGGGAUUCGUCCACGUACAUGCUUAGGAUGUUGACAUAAUGGCUUUAAACGACCCGUCUUGA